CGCAUCUGUGCAUGCAGCAUAUCAAUAGCGGAGGAAAAGAAACUAACAAGGAUUCCCCUAGUAACGGCGAGUGAAGCGGGAAGAGCUCAAAUUUGAAAUCUUAAAGGGUUUCCCUUUACGAAUUGUAGUUUAAAGAAGUGUUUUCUGUUGAGGUUUUGGUAAAAGUUCUUUGGAAUAGGACAUCAUAGAGGGUGAGAAUCCCGUAUUUGACCUUUACUUUCAACUUUGUGAUACACUUUCAAAGAGUCGGAUUGUUUGGGAAUGCAGUCCAAAAUGGGUGGUAAAUUUCAUCUAAAGCUAAAUAUUGGCGAGAGACCGAUAGCGAACAAGUACCGUGAGGGAAAGAUGAAAAGAACUUUGAAAAGAGAGUUAAACAGUACGUGAAAUUGUCAAAAGGGAAGCGUUUGACACCAGUGUUGUUUUUCUGAAAAUCAAUUAAAGAACUGUUUAUGCUAAGCUUGUUUAGACUUUAUCAGCUAUACUGUUUAGUUUUGAGCUUUUCUUUAAUGCACUUUUCAGUUAACAAGUCAACAUCAAUUUCUUUUGCUGUAAAAAAGCUUGAGGAAGGUGGCUUGAGAUUCGUCUUAAGUGUUUAUAGCCUCUUGCCUAUGCAGUCGGAGAGAUUGAGGUCUGCAGCGUAGAUCCUUCGGGGCUAAAUGCAUUUGUGCUAAGUUAUAGCAUUUUAUAGACAACUUGUUGACUAUGAUUUGUCUUGUAGCUUACUCGCUUAUGUUAUUUUACCUACGCUUAGGAUGUUGAACGCGCACAGAGUCUC
rnacentral:rRNA from 1 species